UUUCGGCCAGAGGGGGCGGGGGCCUCGGCGUGGGGGCGGGGCCAGCAUGCCGCUCGCGCUAGGCCCCGCCCCCCUGACGCACAGUCCGGCCAGCUGCAGGGAUGGUACAAGCAGGAUUGCAUUUCCUGGCUUCCUUGUAGUUGGGAUGAGUCACAUGACACAUUCUGCCAUGAAUUGUGAGCAUAGCAUUUAAUUGCUGAUGCAAGACCUUCCAGAACUCUUUUUGCUCUUUGCCAUGGCAAUCAACAAUGUUCCAGAGAGUAUAUGCUCUGUAAGUCUUGGUCUUAGAGGGAGGAUGAUGCAGAAAAGAGUCCCAUUCACCUCAUGAUGGAUAUUUAAAAGUAUCACCUUUAUUCUACAUAUGGACAUAGGUAGGAGGAGACUGCAGUGGGGUCUGUAUCACUCAUGCUCAAGUGAACACAUCUGGGCCCAAAGUUGUCUUCCAGGAUCAGAUGGAGAAGCUGGAGUAUCCCUUCUGAGGAAUUCCUUCUAAGGAAUCUCUACCUCAGCAUGCUUGCAGGGCAAAAGUAGUGCUGAGCUCUUCUCACCAAGCCACAAGGCAUGCAGGAUCUUGCUACAAAGAAUAUGGUAAGGAGAUGCAUUUCCUCCCCCAAGUCGGCUGUCUCCAUUUGUAACUGAUACUACAUACAGCAG